UCCAGACUCCUACGGGAGGCAGCAGUGAGGAAUAUUGGUCAAUGGGCGGGAGCCUGAACCAGCCAAGUCGCGUGAGGGAAGACGGUCCUACGGAUUGUAAACCUCUUUUGCCGGGGAGCAACGGGGUCCUUGCGAGGGCCCGAUGAGAGUACCCGGAGAAAAAGCAUCGGCUAACUACGUGCCAGCAGCCGCGGUAAUACGUAGGGGGCAAGCGUUAUCCGGAUUUACUGGGUGUAAAGGGUGCGCAGGUGGCAGGGCAAGUCAGAUGUGAAAGCCCGGGGCUCAACCCCGGUAUUGCAUUUGAAACUGUCCGGCUAGAGUGCAGGAGAGGUAAGCGGAAUUCCUAGUGUAGCGGUGAAAUGCGUAGAUAUUAGGAGGAACACCAGUGGCGAAGGCGGCUUACUGGACUGUAACUGACACUGAGGCACGAAAGCGUGGGGAGCAAACAGGAUUAGAUCCCCGUGUA
rnacentral:rRNA from 1 species